rnacentral:rRNA from 1 species
GUGCAGCAGUUGCGAAAACUUGUCAAUGCACGAAAGUGUGAACGGGCUACCCCGAGUUCCGUCCGCUGAGGAUGGCUUUUCUCUGCUGUAAGAAGGCUGAGGAAUAAGUAGAGGGCAAGUCUGGUGUCAGCCGCCGCGGUAAUACCAGCUCUCCGAGUGGUGGGGAUGAUUAUUGGGCUUAAAGCGUCCGUAGCUGGCCUUUCAAGUCUCUUGUUAAAUCCAGCGAUUCAAUCGUUGGACUGCGGGGGAUACUGUUAGGCUAGGAGGCGGGAGAAGCCGACGGUAUUUCCAGGGUAGGGGUAAAAUCCUAUAAUCCCGGGAAGACCAGCAGUGGCGUAGGCGGUUGGCUAGAACGCGCUCGACAGUGAGGGACGAAAGCUGGGGGAGCGAACCGGAUUAGAUACCCGGGUAGUCC